rnacentral:lncRNA from 1 species
AUCCUCCAUUGAGCCACCAAAGUUCCAAAAAUUAAUAUGUAAUUAAGGACAGGUUUUAGUGAUUAUUCCCUAACAGGUAGGGGAUCUUGGAAGAGUUUCAGCAGAGAUAUUGCCAUAAUUGGCAAGGAAGAGUCCCAAUGGAACAUUACCACUGGCUACACUCAUUAAGGCAUGAGCCUCCUAAGAACAAAAUCAAUAGAAGACAUCAGUCUGUUUGAAGUGUCACUGCUAUGAAAAAUGGAGAUAGUUCCUAAGAAGCUAUGUUAACAAACAUCUGUAACUAUAAGAUUUCAUCAUAUUCAUCUCUUCUUUCCUCAUUUCUUCUGGAAGAUUUAGAUGAAAGAACACGUAUGUAGUAUCUAAGGGAAAAAGGACAUCGAGGUUUUGGAUCAUCUGACUUGAUCCUGGAGGCUGUAACAAGGAUACUUGAGAAACUAAGCCCGAGAAUAAGAUCCUACUCUGGGUUAAUCCUCACAACAACCUUAAGAG